rnacentral:rRNA from 1 species
AUUGAACGCUGGCGGCAGGCCUAACACAUGCAAGUCGAACGAGGGGCGGGCGGGAGAGUAGUGUCUGGGAAACUGCCUGGUGGAGGGAGAUCUAUACUGGAAACGAUCUCCAAUAGCAUAAACCAGCGGAUGUGCCCAGCUGGGAUUAGCUAGGAGGUGGGGUAAAGUAUCACCGAGGCGACGAUCCCUAGCUGUUCUGAGAGGAUGACCAGCCACACUGGAACUGAGACACGGUCCCGACUCCUACGGGAGGCAGCAGUGGGGAAUAUUGCACAAUGGGCGCAAGCCUGAUGCAGCCAUGCCGCGUGUAUGAAGAAGGCCUUCGGGUUGUAAAGUACUUUCAGCGAGGAGGCGUUACCCGCAGAAGAAGCACCGGCUAACUCCGUGCCAGCAGCCGCGGUAAUAC